GACGAACGCUGGCGGCGUGCUUAACACAUGCAAGUCGAACGGAAAGGCCCCUUUGGGGGUACUCGAGUGGCGAACGGGUGCGUAACACGUGAGUAACCUGCCCUUGACUUCGGGAUAACUUCAGGAAACUGGGGCUAAUACCGGAUAGGAAUCCUUGCUGCAUGGUGGGGGUUGGAAAGCUUCGGCGGUUUUGGAUGGACUUGCGGCUUAUCAGCUUGUUGGUGGGGUAGUGGCUUACCAAGGCUUUGACGGGUAGCCGGCCUGAGAGGGCGACCGGCCACAUUGGGACUGAGAUACGGCCCAGACUCCUACGGGAGGCAGCAGUGGGGAAUAUUGCACAAUGGGCGGAAGCCUGAUGCAGCAACGCCGCGUGCGGGAUGACGGCCUUCGGGUUGUAAACCGCUUUCAGCAGGGGCGAAGCUUGUGGUGACGGUACCUGCAGAAGAAGCACCGGCUAACUACGUG
rnacentral:rRNA from 1 species